GACUUGAUAGCUCAGUUGGUAGAGCACUGCACCGGCCGGUACCGCAGAGGUCAUGGGUUCGAAUCCCGUUCAACCCU